GAUGAACGCUAGCGACAGGCUUAACACAUGCAAGUCGAGGGGCAGCGGGGAGAAAGCUUGCUUUCUCCGCCGGCGACCGGCGCACGGGUGAGUAACACGUAUGCAACCUGCCCGGAACAGAGGGAUAAGCGGGAGAAAUUCCGUCUAAUACCGCAUAAUACCCCCGGAGGACAUCCUCCUGGGGUCAAAGGAGGCGACUCCGGUUCCGGAUGGGCAUGCGGCGCAUUAGCUGGUUGGCGGGGUAACGGCCCACCAAGGCGACGAUGCGUAGGGGUUCUGAGAGGAAGGUCCCCCACAUUGGUACUGAGACACGGACCAA
rnacentral:rRNA from 1 species